AGAAUCAACGCUGGCGGCGUGCCUAACACAUGCAAGUCGAACGAGAAAGGGGUAGCAAUACCCUGAGUAAAGUGGCGCACGGGUGAGUAACACGUGACUAACCUACCCUUGAGUGGGGGGAUAACUGAGGGAAACCUUAGCUAAUACCGCAUAAUACCCACGGGUCAAAGGGGCAAUUCGCUCGAGGAGGGGGUCGCGGCCGAUUAGUUAGUUGGCGGGGUAAUGGCCCACCAAGACGAUGAUCGGUAUCC
rnacentral:rRNA from 1 species